UGACACAUCUCUUGUCGAAGAUAUUCCAGCUUACAAAUUCGCCAGUCCAGGGAAAUCUUUUGACGCAUCGGUGUGAGAGAGCAAACGCAUUUUGUGAGUCACUUCGUGCUCUGGAUGCUACAGGUUAGUUAUGAACAUUAACCCAAUCUUUUAUAUAAACCCAAUCAUGUCUUAUUACAGUUGCGAGAGAUUAUUCAAAUUAGGCAUUUUAUAUGUUUGUGUUUGUUCUAUAGCCGCUAUUCUGUCAUAUGGUGGAAUACAUGGAUUGCUAACAUUAAUAUAUGGGUGCGGCCCUGAUAUUCAGGAAAUUGUCAACGAAGGCAUUUUUCAUCCUUCUCACUUUGAGCGUUUUCAGUUCGAAAAUCUUUAUGCGGGAUGAGGAAGCAAAAGGGGACGAAGGAAAGGAAGAGGAAUAAAUAAAAAAUUGAACAGAGUAGGACAUAACUUUCAAGGAAUGUUUUUUUUCUCCAGGGCACAAAUUCUGCUCUUUUUCCGCUUUUUCUGUGUUUGAAAAACUUUAUUUCAUUAAUGAUACACACUAAUACAGAGA
rnacentral:lncRNA from 1 species